GGAACAUCAGGCCGUAUUGCAUUUCUUUUGGUGACAUCCUUUAAUGAGAUGUUGAAAGCCCAAAAACAGAAACAGAUCUGUUCGUACAUCAUAGCUGGAGGUGACAGGGCCCUGCUGACAUCACAGGAGGCUCCAGAGGACGACCCGACGCUGGGAGCUCGCACACUGGACAAG